rnacentral:rRNA from 1 species
GAUGAACGCUGGCGGCGUGCCUAAUACAUGCAAGUCGAGCGAACAGACGAGGAGCUUGCUCCUCUGACGUUAGCGGCGGACGGGUGAGUAACACGUGGAUAACCUACCUAUAAGACUGGGAUAACUUCGGGAAACCGGAGCUAAUACCGGAUAAUAUAUUGAACCGCAUGGUUCAAUAGUGAAAGACGGUUUUGCUGUCACUUAUAGAUGGAUCCGCGCCGCAUUAGCUAGUUGGUAAGGUAACGGCUUACCAAGGCGACGAUGCGUAGCCGACCUGAGAGCGUGAUCGGCCACCCUGGAACUGAGACACGGUCCAGACUCCUACGGGAGGCAGCAGUAGGGAAUCUUCCGCGAUGGGCGAAAGCCUGACGGAGCAACGCCGCGUGAGUGAUGAAGGUCUUCGGAUCGUAAAACUCUGUUAUUAGGGAAGAACAAAUGUGUAAGUAACUAUGCACGUCUUGACGGUACCUAAUCAGAAAGCCACGGCUAACUACGUG